CUCAUCAUCGUCGCGAUCGUGGCGUGGCGUUCCUCGAUUUCGCAUCCUCCUCUCUUGCGGUUCCAUCCCACGAAGCCUCUUCCAGCGCACCGGCUCCUAAGGUUGCUGUCAUGCCUCUGUGCUCUCAGAACUACAAUGAAUGUGGCAUCAGUGGUCUGCACUUUUAAUUGGUAUGGCUUUCUUGCUUGUUGUUACUCCAGGUCUGUAACCUUCUUCAUUGUUCUCUUAUUUGUGCAAUGGACUUGGAAUUGAUUGUGUUUGCUGUUGAUGAGUCAAAAAUAAAAUGUCAAUUGAAUAAAAAGAGAUAUGGUCAAUAUUAUGUUCCUUUUAGUUCGCAUGUUAGUGAUCUUUUUUUUUUGUUGUUGUUGAGAUUUAUACACCAAUCCCUCAAUUCUUUAUGGUUGCAUACUUAAUGCUUCA